CAGCUCAGGCCCCUCUUCUGAAAGAGAUAAUCUUUCGCCUUUUACUAAAGAUUACCGUGGGGAGGGGCCAAUGAGCCUAUAGGCCUAUUUUUGGGAGGCCGCUACCGUUUGGUAGAGGC
rfam:Ixodes scapularis strain Wikel colony gcontig_1107729105074, whole genome shotgun sequence.